rnacentral:rRNA from 1 species
AGGAGUCUAUUAAUAAAUGGGGAUUGUUUUUAAUUGUUUAAUAUAAAUAAUUUUAUAAUGAUUAUUAUAGUAUAGUUUAUAGAAUUAAGAGGGGGUUGAUAAUAUAUUAGUACUGUAAAGGAAUUAUGAAAUAAAUGAAAUAAUUAUUUAAUAAAAAGAAGAAUAUAAUUUGUACCUUGUGUAUCAGGGUUUAUUAAUAUAUAAAAUGUAAAUUUUUAGGUCCCGAAUUGGAAUGAGUAAAAAUAGAAUAUUAGUUAAUGUGGUAUAAUUAUUAAUGAUUUUAUUUUUGUAAUGAAAUGUUAUUCGUCUUCUAAUAUAUCUGGUUUUUUAAGAAAUAAAUUAAAUUUAUUUAUUGGGAGUAGAUGCUAUUUUUAAGAGCUAUUUAUUUUCCAAUUGAAGAUGUAUAAGGGGAUAAUCUCUUAUACAUAAAUUAUAAUAAUUUAAUAUAGUUAAAAUUAGUAGGCUUUAAAUUAGCUUUUGGUUGAAAAAUGUUAUAAUUUUUUUAAAAAUAAAAGGAUUUAUAUUAGUUGUUUAAUUUGUUUAUUAAAAUGUUAAGGGUAAUUAAAUUACUUGAGUAAUAAUGAUAAAAUAAGUAUAUGAAAUUUGUUUAUAAGAAUUUAUUUUUAGUAAAUUUGUAAUAAGGAACUAGGCAAAUUAUUACCCGUCUGUUUAUCAAAAACAUUUCCUUUAGUGUUAAUUUGAGGUUGGGCCUGCCCACUGAAAGGUAAAUUGAAGGGCCGCGGUAUUAUGACCGUGCAAAGGUAGCAUAAUCAUUAGUUUUUUAAUUGAGGGCUAGAAUGAAUGGUUUGACGAGGUAAUGACUGUCUCAUUAUGAUAAUUAGAAGUUAACUUUUAGGUUAAAAGGCUUAAAUGUGUAUAGAGGACGAGAAGACCCUAUAGAGUUUAAUAUAUUUAAAUAAUUAUUUAUUUAGAUGUUUAUAUAUAAUUACUUUAAAUGUAUUUUGUUGGGGUGACAUAAAGAUAUAUUUAACUCUUUAUUUUAUUUACAUUAAUAUAUGGGUUUUUGAUCCAUUUUUAGUGAUCAAAAGGUUAAAUUACCUUAGGGAUAACAGCGUAAUUUUCUUUGAGAGUUCGUAUCAACAAGGAAGAUUGCGACCUCGAUGUUGGAUUAAGAAGUAUAAUUGGAUGUAGUCGUUUAAUUUAUAGGUCUGUUCGACCUUUAAAGUCUUACAUGAUCUGAGUUCAGACCGGUGUGAGCCAGGUCGGUUUCUAUCCUUAUAUUUAGAUUAUAAUUUAGUACGAAAGGACCAAUUAUUAUAAAUAAUUUAUUAUUAUGAUUAAUUUUAA